CGAACGCUGGCGGCGUGCUUAACACAUGCAAGUCGAGCGGUAAGGCCUUUCGGGGUACACGAGCGGCGCACGGGUGAGUAACACGUGGGUGAUCUGCCCUGCACUUCGGGAUAAGCCUGGGAAACUGGGUCUAAUACCGGAUAUGACCUCCUAUCGCAUGGUGGGUGGUGGAAAGAUUUAUCGGUGCAGGAUGGGCCCGCGGCCUAUCAGCUUGUUGGUGGGGUAAUGGCCUACCAAGGCGACGACGGGUAGCCGACCUGAGAGGGUGACCGGCCACACUGGGACUGAGACACGGCCCAGACUCCUACGGGAGGCAGCAGUGGGGAAUAUUGCACAAUGGGCGAAAGCCUGAUGCAGCGACGCCGCGUGAGGGAUGACGGCCUUCGGGUUGUAAACCUCUUUCAGCAGGGACGAAGCGCAAGUGACGGUACCUGCAGAAGAAGCACCGGCUAACUACGUG
rnacentral:rRNA from 1 species